GUUGUUGGGUAGGGGAGCGUUCUGUAAGCCUGUGAAGGUGUACUGUGAGGUAUGCUGGAGGUAUCAGAAGUGCGAAUGCUGACAUAAGUAACGAUAAAGCGGGUGAAAAGCCCGCUCGCCGGAAGACCAAGGGUUCCUGUCCAACGUUAAUCGGGGCAGGGUGAGUCGACCCCUAAGGCGAGGCCGAAAGGCGUAGUCGAUGGGAAACAGGUUAAUAUUCCUGUACUUGGUGUUACUGCGAAGGGGGGACGGAGAAGGCUAUGUUGGCCGGGCGACGGUUGUCCCGGUUUAAGCGUGUAGGCUGGUUUUCCAGGCAAAUCCGGAAAAUCAAGGCUGAGGCGUGAUGACGAGGCACUACGGUGCUGAAGCAACAAAUGCCCUGCUUCCAGGAAAAGCCUCUAAGCAUCAGGUAACAUCAAAUCGUACCCCAAACCGACACAGGUGGUCAGGUAGAGAAUACCAAGGCGCUUGAGAGAACUCGGGUGAAGGAACUAGGCAAAAUGGUGCCGUAACUUCGGGAGAAGGCACGCUGAUAUGUAGGUGAAG
rnacentral:rRNA from 1 species